rnacentral:rRNA from 1 species
UCGGGGGCAGAACAACAGGGAUUGCCUUAGUAACGGCGAGUGAAGCGGCAACAGCUCAAAUUUGAAAGCUGGCCCUUUUAGGGUCCGCGUUGUAAUUUGUAGAGGAUGAUUCGGCGAGGGCUCCCGCCUAAGUCCCCUGGAACGGGGCGUCAUAGAGGGUGAGAAUCCCGUAUGCGGUGGGCUGCCUUAGCCAUGUGAAUCUCCUUCGACGAGUCGAGUUGUUUGGGAAUGCAGCUCUAAAUGGGAGGUAAAUUUCUUCUAAAGCUAAAUACCGGCCAGAGACCGAUAGCGCACAAGUAGAGUGAUCGAAAGAUGAAAAGCACUUUGGAAAGAGAGUUAAAAAGUACGUGAAAUUGUUGAAAGGGAAGCGCUUGCAACCAGACUUGUCCGCAGUUGCUCAGCCGGUCUCCUGACCGGCGUACUCUUCUGCGGCCAGGCCAGCAUCAGUUCGGGCGGUCGGAUAAAGACCUCGGGAAUGUAGCUCCUCUCGGGGAGUGUUAUAGCCCGGGGUGGAAUGCGGCCAGCCUGGACUGAGGAUCUCGCUUCGGCAAGGAUGCUGGCGUAAUGGUUGUAAGCGGCCCGUCUUGAAACACGGACCAAGGAGUCUAACAUCUAUGCGAGUGUUUGGGUGUCAAACCCAUACGCGUAAUGAAAGUGAACGGAGGUGGGAACCCGCAAGGGUGCACCAUCGGCCGAUCCUGAUGUCUUCGGAUGGAUUUGAGCAAGAGCAUAGCUGUUGGGACCCGAAAGAUGGUGAACUAUGCCUGAAUAGGGUGAAGCCAGAGGAAACUCUGGUGGAGGCUCGCAGCGGUUCUGACGUGCAAAUCGAUCGUCAAAUUUGGGUAUAGGGGCGAAAGACUAAUCGAACCAUUAACAUUGGUAGUUCUUUGUUUUCAAAGAAGGCUGCUAGGUGGUUGAGAGGUAACUAAAAGUGUUUACCUAGUCCCUUCAUCGGGGCGACACUGUCAAAUUGUUCGGGGACGUCCUUAGAGCUUAGACUACCGCGGCCGGCCGAAAGGUCCGGCGCAGCACCAGGGUAAUGACCUCGGGGAUGGUAAUAACGUCUAAGAUUGGGCAAUCCGCAGCCAAGCUCCUAAGUCCGGUAGAACGGAUACGGAGAAGGUUCACAGACUAGAUGGCAGUGGGUUCGGCCUUUGACGGGCCGGGUCUAAGAUAUAGUCGAUCCCCUACGGAAACGUAGGCGGUGGGGCAAAGCCCGCCAGGCAGAUGAGUGCGUCGGAAGAGGCACGCCUGGAGGGCCCGAACCCUGUCGGGGAGCCGCAGCGCCCCUGCAGCUAGCCC